AGCACCCUGUAUUACUCUGUCAUGUGUGAUGGAUUUAUUAAGUUUAACAACACUCGGACCCUGAAACUCAACGACCUCAAUGACCACAGCCCGGUGUUUGAACGGAAGCACUACGUCACCACUGUCUCUGAGACACAACCUGUGGACACUGAGGUUCUUCGAGUGACGGCGGUGGACGGGGACAGCUCCACAGAAAACAACAGGCUGACAUAUUCUAUUGUAAGAAGAUCUAAGCCCUGAGUACUGAGAGUCACU